rnacentral:rRNA from 1 species
AACGCUACGGCGAGCCUAAUACACCGCAGUCUGAACGGUGUCUUCGGACAUAGUGGCGCACGGGUGCGUAACACGUAUGCAACCUACCUUACAUUGGGGGAUAGCCUUUCGAAAGGGAGAUUAAUACCGCAUAAGACAGUAGCUGGGCAUCCAGCAGCUGUUAAAGAUUUAUCGAUGUAAGCUGGGCAUGCGUCCAAUUAGCUAGUUGGUGAGGUAAUGGCUCACCAAGGGCAAUGAUUGGUAGGGGAACUGAGAGGUCAAUCCCCCACACUGGCACUGAGAUACGGGCCAGACUCCUACGGGAGGCAGCAGUAGGAAUAUUGGGCAAUGGACGCAAGUCUGACCCAGCCAUGCCGCAUGCAGGAUGAAGGCGUUAUGCGUUGUAAACUGCUUUUAUACAGGAAGAAACGACUCUUGCGAGAGGCAUUGACGGUACUGUAUGAAUAAGCACCGGCUAACUCCGUGACCACCAGACGCGGUCAAUACGGAGUGGUGCAAGCGUUGUCCGGAUUUAUCUGGGUUUAAAGGGUGCGCAGGUGGUUUAUUACAGUCAGAUGGUGAAAAGACGGUCGCUCAACGAUUGCAGUGCCCCACUUUGAACACUGGGUACAACCUUUGAACGUCACAAGAUCACGACGUUGGGGCCGGGAACAUUGAUAAGUUGUACACCCGGUCGAAAAUUGCAUAGAAUAUUAUCACCGAACCUCCCAAAUUGCCGUUAAGGCACACUCACUUUGGGGCUUUUACUUGACACACUUCACUGCACGAAAAGUGUGGGUAUCCAACCAGGAUUCACAAACCCGGGAU